CUGCUAAUACCGCAUAAGCCCACGGCUCGGCAUCGAGCAGAGGGGAAAGGAGCAAUCCGCUUUGAGAUGGCCUCGCGUCCGAUUAGCUAGUUGGUGAGGUAACGGCCCACCAAGGCGACGAUCGGUAGCCGGACUGAGAGGUUGAACGGCCACAUUGGGACUGAGACACGGCCCAGACUCCUACGGGAGGCAGCAGUGGGGAAUAUUGCACAAUGGGGGAAACCCUGAUGCAGCGACGCCGCGUGGAGGAAGAAGGUCUUCGGAUUGUAAACUCCUGUUGUUGAGGAAGAUAAUGACGGUACUCAACAAGGAAGUGACGGCUAACUACGUGCCAGCAGCCGCGGUAAAACGUAGGUCACAAGCGUUGUCCGGAAUUACUGGGUGUAAAGGGAGCGCAGGCGGGAAGACAAGUUGGAAGUGAAAUCCAUGGGCUUAACCCAUGAACUGCUUUCAAAACUGUUUUUCUUGAGUAGUGCAGAGGUAGGCGGAAUUCCCGGUGUAGCGGUGGAAUGCGUAGAUAUCGGGAGGAACACCAGUGGCGAAGGCGGCCUACUGGGCACCAACUGACGCUGAGGCUCGAAAGUGUGGGUAGCAAACAGGAUUAGAUACCCUGGUAGUCCACACUGUAAACGAUGAUUACUAGGUGUUGGAGGAUUGACCCCUUCAGUGCCGCAGUUAACACAAUAAGUAAUCCACCUGGGGAGUACGACCGCAAGGUUGAAACUCAAAGGAAUUGACGGGGGCCCGCACAAGCAGUGGAGUAUGUGGUUUAAUUCGACGCAACGCGAAGAACCUUACCAAGUCUUGACAUCCUGCGACGCACAUAGAAAUAUGUGUUUCCUUCGGGACGCAGAGACAGGUGGUGCAUGGUUGUCGUCAGCUCGUGUCGUGAGAUGUUGGGUUAAGUCCCGCAACGAGCGCAACCCUUAUGGUCAGUUACUACGCAAGAGGACUCUGGCCAGACUGCCGUUGACAAAACGGAGGAAGGUGGGGAUGACGUCAAAUCAUCAUGCCCUUUAUGACUUGGGCUACACACGUACUACAAUGGCGUUAAACAAAGAGAAGCAAGACCGCGAGGUGGAGCAAAACUCAGAAACAACGUCCCAGUUCGGACUGCAGGCUGCAACUCGCCUGCACGAAGUCGGAAUUGCUAGUAAUCGCAGAUCAGCAUGCUGCGGUGAAUACGUUCCCGGGCCUUGUACACACCGCCCGUCACACCAUGAGAGCCGGGGGGACCCGAAGUCGGUAGUCUAACCGCAAGGAGGACGCCGCCGAAGGUAAAACUGGUGAUUGGGGUGAAGUCGAAACAAGGUA
rnacentral:rRNA from 1 species